AACGAACGCUGGCGGCAUGCCUAACACAUGCAAGUCGAACGAGACCUUCGGGUCUAGGGGCGCACGGGUGCGUAACGCGGGGGAACCUGCCCGUAGGUUCGGAAUAACUCCCCGAAAGGGGUGCUAAUACCGGAGAAUGUCUUCGGACCAAAGAUUUAUCGCCUUUGGAUGGGCCCGCGUUGGAUUAGCUAGUUGGUAGGGUAAAAGCCUACCAAGGCGACGAUCCAUAGCUGGUCUGAGAGGAUGAUCAGCCACACUGGGACUGAGACACGGCCCAGACUCCUACGGGAGGGAGCAGUGGGGAAUAUUGGACACUGGGCGCAAGCCUGAUCCAGCAAUGCCGCGUGAGUGAUGAAGGCCUUAGGGUUGUAAAGCUCUUUUACCCGGGAUGAUAAUGACAGUACCGGGAGAAUAAGCUCCGGCUAACUCCGUG
rnacentral:rRNA from 1 species